rnacentral:rRNA from 1 species
UACGGAGGGUGCAAACGUUGCUCGGAAUCAUUGGGCGUAAAGCGCACGUAGGCGGCCUGACAAGUCGGGUGUGAAAGCCCUCGGCUUAACCGAGGAAGUGCAUUCGAAACUAUCAGGCUUGAAUACUGAAGAGGGUCUCGGAAUUCCCGGUGUAGAGGUGAAAUUCGUAGAUAUCGGGAGGACACCAGUGGCGAAGGCGGCUUUCUGGACAUUUACUGACGCUGAGACGCGAAAGCGUGGGGAGCAAACAGG